rnacentral:rRNA from 1 species
CCUACGGGAGGCAGCAGUGGGGAAUAUUGGACAAUGGGCGAAAGCCUGAUCCAGCAAUUCCGCGUGUGUGAAGAAGGCCUUCGGGUUGUAAAGCACUUUAGUGGGGGAAGAAACAGCUUGGCCACACCAAGCCUUGACGGUACCCCAAGAAUAAGCACCGGCUAACUCUGUGCCAGCAGCCGCGGUAAUACAGAGGGUGCAAGCGUUAAUCGGAUUUACUGGGCGUAAAGGGUGCGUAGGUGGCUAUUUAAGUCGGAUGUGAAAGCCCGGGGCUCAACCUCGGAAUUGCAUUCGAUACUGAGUGGCUAGAGUUCGGUAGAGGGCGGCGGAAUUUCCGGUGUAGCGGUGAAAUGCGUAGAUAUCGGAAGGAACAUCAAUGGCGAAGGCAGCCGCCUGGGCCUGGACUGACACUGAGGCACGAAAGCGUGGGUAGCAAACAGGAUUAGAUACCCUGGUAGUCCACGCCGUAAACGAUGAGAACUUGACGUUGGUUCGUUUUACGAAUCGGUGUCGCNGCUACGACGAUAAGUUACUCCGUCCGUCGGGAGGUAGUGGCCGCGAGGUUAGAACGUACAAAUAGAAGUUAGUACGGCGUGAGACGUGCCGACGGACGACGACGAGGGAGGAGG